GACGAACGCUGGCGGCGUGCUUAACACAUGCAGGUCGAGCGGUAAGGCCCUUUCGGGGGUACACGAGCGGCGAACGGGUGAGUAACACGUGGGUGACCUGCCUUUAGCUCUGGGAUAAGCCUGGGAAACCGGGUCUAAUACCGGAUAUGACUCCGCGGCGCAUGUUGUGGGGUGGAAAGCCUUGUGCGGCUAGGGAUGGGCCCGCGGCCUAUCAGCUUGUUGGUGGGGUGAUGGCCUACCAAGGCGACGACGGGUAGCCGGCCUGAGAGGGCGACCGGCCACACUGGGACUGAGACACGGCCCAGACUCCUACGGGAGGCAGCAGUGGGGAAUCUUGCGCAAUGGGCGAAAGCCUGACGCAGCGACGCCGCGUGAGGGAUGACGGCCU
rnacentral:rRNA from 1 species